rnacentral:RNase_P_RNA from 1 species
GGGAGUAGGUGGACAGCUCACGGCCUUGUGCUGAGGAAAGUCCUCCCUCACUCUGGACCGAGGACCUACACAAGUGGGAGAGGCGGGAGCCUCUGCAGAGGAGCAGAAACGACACAGCCCAUAAAUAAUGCGAUGAUGCAAGUUAUGUUGUUGAGGUCUUUAUGGGAUUUGAUGAAACGGCCAAUCUGCCCUUGGAGCAAGCCUAAACAGUGAGAUCAGUUGUCCAGACUGCUCACAGGUAAGGUGCUAAGUAGAAUGCUGUUUAAAACAGAAGGAGGCUUACGGCCUACACCC